rnacentral:snoRNA from 1 species
UUGGAUGUCGUACUAUCAUUCCGUUUGGGAACAGAAAUACAUCAUCACAUGCUACAUUACAAAGUUCUCCAGGCUGCAGCUACUGUAGAGUCGAGUGGUAGUAAAUUUCUACUACAUAA